rnacentral:tRNA from 1 species
GUAGAGCAGAGGACUGAAAAUCCUCGUG